GGCGAACGGGUGAGUAACACGUGGAUGAUCUGCCCUGCACUUCGGGAUAAGCCUGGGAAACUGGGUCUAAUACCGGAUAGGAGCCAUUUUUAGUGUGAUGGUUGGAAAGUUUUUCGGUGUAGGAUGAGCUCGCGGCCUAUCAGCUUGUUGGUGGGGUAAUGGCCUACCAAGGCGGCGACGGGUAGCCGGCCUGAGAGGGUGGACGGCCACAUUGGGACUGAGAUACGGCCCAG
rnacentral:rRNA from 1 species